rnacentral:rRNA from 1 species
ACGCUGGCGGCGUGCCUAACACAUGCAAGUCGAACGGAGAUAUGAUUUCGGUUAUAUCUUAGUGGCGAACGGGUGAGUAACGCGUGAGCAACCUGACCUUCAGAGGGGGAUAACACUUGGAAACAGGUGCUAAUACCGCAUAAGACCACGACCCGACAUCGGGAUGCGGUCAAAGGAGCAAUCCGCUGAGGGAGGGGCUCGCGUCCCAUUAGAUAGAUGGCGGGUAACGGCCCACCAUGUCGACGAUGGGUAGCCGAGCUGAGAGGCUGAUCGGCCACACUGGAACUGAGACACGGUCCAGACUCCUACGGGAGGCAGCAGUGGGGAAUAUUGGGCAAUGGGCGCAAGCCUGACCCAGCAACGCCGCGUGAGGGAAGAAGGCCUUCGGGUUGUAAACCUCUGUCCUUGGUGACGAAACAAAUGACGGUAGCCAAGGAGGAAGCCCCGGCUAACUACGUG